rnacentral:rRNA from 1 species
UACAGAGGGUGCUAGCGUUGUUCGGAAUCAUUGGGCGUAAAGAGCUCGUAGGCGGUUUGUCGCGUCUGCCGUGAAAGUCCGGGGCUCAACUCCGGAUCUGCGGUGGGUACGGGCAGACUAGAGUGAUGUAGGGGAGACUGGAAUUCCUGGUGUAGCGGUGAAAUGCGCAGAUAUCAGGAGGAACACCGAUGGCGAAGGCAGGUCUCUGGGCAUUAACUGACGCUGAGGAGCGAAAGCAUGGGGAGCGAACAGG